AUUCAGCUGAUGAGUCUUGAAUAAGACGAAACGCGCGUCCUGAAU
rfam:Schistosoma margrebowiei strain Zambia genome assembly, scaffold: SMRZ_scaffold0000011